rnacentral:rRNA from 1 species
AUUGAACGCUGGCGGCAGGCCUAACACAUGCAAGUCGAGCGAGCGGCGGACGGGGGAGUAAUGUAUGGGGACUGCCCGAUAGAGGGGGGUAACUACAGGAAAAGGGAGCUAAUACCCCAUACUAUCGGAUAACCCAUAUGGGAUUAGCUAGUAGGUGGGGUAAUGGCUCACACAGGCGACGAUCCCUAGAUGGUCUGAGAGGAUGAUCAGCCACACUGGGACUGAGACACGGCCCAGACUCCUACGGAGGCAGCAGUGGGGAAUAUUGCACAAUGGGCGCAAGCCUGAUGCAGCCAUGCCGCGUGUAUGAAGAAGGCCCUAGGGUUGUAAAGUACUUUCAGUCGGGAGGCGUUACCGACAGAAGAAGCACCGGCUAACUCCGUGCCAGCAGCCGCGGUAAUUC